AAUCUUGCGCAAUGGGCGAAAGCCUGACGCAGCCAUGCCGCGUGAAUGAUGAAGGUCUUAGGAUUGUAAAAUUCUUUCACCGGGCACGAUAGUGACGGUACCCGGCGACGAAGCCCCGGCUAACUCCGUCCCAGCAGCCGCGGUAAUACGAAGGGGGCUAGCGUUGCUCGGAAUUACUGGGCGUAAAUGGCGCGUAGGCGGAUCGUUAAGUCAGGGGUGAAAUCCCGGGGCUCAACCUCGGAAUUGCCCUUGAUACUGGCGAUCUUGAGUAUGAGAGAGGUAUGUGGAACUCCGAGUGUAGAGGUGAAAUUCGUAGAUAUUCGGAAGAACACCAGUGGCGAAGGCGACAUACUGGCUCAUUACUGACGCUGAGGCGCGAAAGCGUGGGGAGCAAACA
rnacentral:rRNA from 1 species